AUGUCAUCACAGAUCAACCUCUCAAACCACCGCACGUAUCCGUCGUUCAACAAUCAAUCCGCCUCCACGUUCUGCGAGUCACCGCGGGCCACCAUGCUUCUUUCUGACGCCUACGAACAAACGCAACAACAUCGACAGAUAUGUACCCGCAACACUGCUCCGACGGUCAUCCAUCUUGAAGCCUCCGACCGCUGA